CUACGGGGGGCAGCAGUGGGGAAUAUUGCACAAUGGGGGAAACCCUGAUGCAGCAACGCCGCGUGGAGGAUGACACAUUUCGGUGCGUAAACUCCUUUUAUAGGUCAAGAUAAUGGCGGUAGCCUAUGAAUAAGCGCCGGCUAACUCCGUGCCAGCAGCCGCGGUAAUACGGAGGGCGCAAGCGUUACUCGGAAUCACUGGGCGUAAAGAGCAUGUAGGCGGGUUAAUAAGUCAGAAGUGAAAUCCAAUAGCUCAACUAUUGAACUGCUUUUGAAACUGCUAACCUAGAGUGUGGGAGAGGUAGAUGGAAUUUCUGGUGUAGGGGUAAAAUCCGUAGAGAUCAGAAGGAAUACCGAUUGCGAAGGCGAUCUACUGGAACAUUACUGACGCUGAGAUGCGAAAGCGUGGGGAGCAAACAGGAUUAGAUACCCGUGUAGUC
rnacentral:rRNA from 1 species